rnacentral:tRNA from 1 species
CGCUCGUGGCCCGGCGAGGGUCCGCCGUUCGUGGCGGCGGAGUUCGAGGAGGAGUUCCGGACGGUGCUGCGUGCGUUGCGGGCGA